CUGAGGGCUCCAACAGUGACAUG
rnacentral:piRNA from 1 species